UACGUAGGGUGCAAGCGUUGUCCGGAAUUAUUGGGCGUAAAGAGCUCGUAGGCGGUCUGUCGCGUCUGCUGUGAAAACUCAGGGCUUAACCCUGAGCUUGCAGUGGGUACGGGCAGACUAGAGUCCGGAAGAGGAGAGUGGAAUUCCUGGUGUAGCGGUGAAAUGCGCAGAUAUCAGGAGGAACACCGAUGGCGAAGGCAGCUUGCUGGGACGGUACUGACGA
rnacentral:rRNA from 1 species